GGAUGUGAGGGCGAUCUGGCUGCGACAUCUGUCACCCCAUUGAUCGCCAGGGUUGAUUCGGCUGAUCUGGCUGGCUAGGCGGGUGUCCCCUUCCUCCCUCAUCGCUCCAUGUGCGUCCCUCCCGAAGCUGCGCACUCGGUUGAAGAGGACGACCACCCCCAAUAGAGGAGGACCGUUCUUCGGUCAAGGGUAUACGAGUAGCUGCGCUCCCCUGCUAGAACCUCCAAACAAGCUCUCAAGAAUACUUUGGUUCUUAGAAAUGGGUAGCAAUCUGUUU
rnacentral:snRNA from 1 species